GGGGAUUUAGCUCAGCGGUAGAGCGCUUGCCUAGCAAGCACAAGGCCCUGGGUUCGGUCCCCAGUUCCG
rfam:Rattus norvegicus chromosome 11, whole genome shotgun sequence.